rnacentral:rRNA from 1 species
UACGGAGGGUGCGAGCGUUGUCCGGAAUCACUGGGCGUAAAGGGCGCGUAGGCGGCGCGAGCAGUCGGCGGUGAAAGCCCGGAGCUCAACUCCGGGUCGGCCGUCGAUACUCUCGUGCUUGAGCACUGUAGAGGCAGGUGGAAUUCCGGGUGUAGCGGUGGAAUGCGUAGAGAUCCGGAAGAACACCAGUGGCGAAGGCGGUCUGCUGGGCAGUUGCUGACACUGAGGCGCGACAGCGUGGGGAGCAAACAGG